rnacentral:ncRNA from 1 species
UGUCCAGUUAAAACAUUGCAUUGCGAUGGCCACAAAGUGGCGUUGACGCAAUGUGAUUUCUGCCCAGUGCUCUGAAUACAAAUCAGAGUGAAGGAAGUCAACCAAGCGCGGGUAAAAGGCGGGAGUCUCGAGCCGAUGAUUGUCAUUCGGUUUUUGUGCUUUGAGUAUACUGGCAGCUGGUGGAAGAAUGCUG